GUGCUAGAAGCUGGAGACCAAUGACAGUCACUCCCUGCACUGAUUCUGCCAUGACCACUUGCUCUAUGGUUGUUUUAAGGAACCUACAGACAAAUGUGAGUAAUCGUCAAAGUUCUUGUCUUGGUUUGGGCCAUUUAAGAGUGGUCAAUGCAUUAUUAAUAAGUAGAAAAUAUAAUUAAAGAAGACUAACCGUGUCCCCAAAAUGAACAUGGGGUUGAUAUGAAACAUUUUGUUGAGUAAUGCAUGUUUGAAACAAUCAGGUCAGUUCAAGAAACAUGUCUAAUUU
rnacentral:lncRNA from 1 species